rnacentral:rRNA from 1 species
UACGAAGGAUUCGAGCGUUAUCCGGAUUUAUUGGGUUUAAAGGGUGCGUAGGUGGACUAAUAAGUCAGUGGUGAAAGCCCGCAGCUUAACUGCGGAACUGCCAUUGAUACUGUUAGUCUUGAGUACAGUUGAGGUGGGCGGAAUGUGUCAUGUAGCGGUGAAAUGCUUAGAUAUGACACAGAACACCGAUUGCGAAGGCAGCUCACUAAGCUGUAACUGACACUGAGGCACGAAAGUGUGGGGAUCAAACAGG